CACAGUCCAAACUCUUUCAAAACACUUUAAGUUACCGAAUUACCCCUUUCCCCUCCUAGCCGUUAUAACCCAUUUCACCCUGUAACAACCCUAAAACACCAUCGUCAUUUCCAAACCGAUCAAGGACAUCUCCGUCAUUUAAUCUUCUCUCCCCUCUUUACUUCAGUGAAAAACCAACAGUCAAAAAGAUGCUUCCUUUUCAAUUCUCAAUUUGUUAGUUUUUUUCUUAAAACAAAUCAUGGCGUCUUCUUCUGAUCCGGUCCUAAAACCAGAAAUCGGCGGCGGAGUAUGUGGUGGCGGAAGCGGAGGAUGCGGAGGUGGAGGUGGUGGAGGAGAGAGCUCAGAGGCGGCGGUGAUAGCAAACGAUCAGUUAUUACUGUACAGAGGACUUAAGAAGCCAAGGAAGGAGAGAGGAUGCACCGCUAAAGAACGUAUUAGCAAAAUGCCUCCUUGCACUGCUGGUAAACGUAGCUCCAUUUACCGUGGCGUCACCAGGCAUAGGUGGACUGGUCGAUAUGAAGCUCACCUUUGGGAUAAGAGUACCUGGAACCAGAAUCAGAAUAAGAAGGGAAAGCAAGUAUACUUGGGGGCAUAUGAUGACGAGGAAGCUGCUGCUAGGGCAUAUGAUCUAGCUGCUUUGAAAUAUUGGGGCCCUGGAACACUCAUUAAUUUUCCAGUUACUGAUUACACGAGAGAUCUUGAAGAAAUGCAGAAUGUCUCAAGAGAAGAGUAUCUGGCAUCUCUUCGGAGAAAGAGUAGUGGUUUUUCAAGAGGAAUCUCAAAGUACCGUGCACUAUCUAGUCGAUGGGACUCAUCUUAUAGUCGUGUGCCUGGAUCUGAAUACUUCAGUAACGUAAACUAUGUGUUAUGUUGCCUUGCAAAAUGGCCUUUUGACAAUAAAUUGGUGACUGAAGGCUCCUGUGCAGGUGAUGAUCAAGCAGCUGAGAGUGAAUACAGUUUUUGUAUUGAGAGAAAGAUAGAUCUGACAGGCUAUAUUAAAUGGUGGGGUUCCAAUAAAACUAGUCUGGCAGAGUCUAUGACAAAGUCAUCCGAGGAUACAAAACAUGGCUGUGCUGACGACAUUGGCAGUGAACUUAAAACAACAGAACGAGAAGUGCAAUGUACUGAGCCAUACCAGAUGCCCCGUUUAGGCUUAUCUGUUGAAGGAAAAAGGCAUAAAGGUUCUAAGAUAUCUGCUUUGAGCAUUUUGUCACAGUCAGCUGCAUACAAGGACUUGCAAGAGAAGGCAUCAAAAAAGCAAGAAACUGUCAUUGAAAAUGAUGAGAAUGAAAACAGAAAUAAUAUCAACAAGAUGGACCGUGGCAAAGCAGUUGAGAAGUCCACAAGUCACGAUAGCAACAGUGAGAGGCUUGGAGCUGCAUUAGGAAUGACUGGGGGAUUGUCUCUUCAAAGAAAUGUUCCAUUGACUCCUUUCUUGUCUGCUCCUCUUCUGACCAACUACAACACAAUCGAUCCCUUAGUAGACCCCAUCCUUUGGACAUCUCUUGUUCCUGCUCUUCCUACUGGACUUUCUCGAAAUCCUGAGUUUCGCAUGUCCUGGGAAGCAUUAAAGCUGUGAGGUUUUCUUGGUAAAGCGUGGAAUCAGACGGCUGGGUGCUCGCCUGUAGUUUUGAGAUACACUAAUACUACUCAGUAAUCUCACCUGUCAUUACAAGAGGACAAAAUUGACACUAUGGUUACAAAGACUGAGACCAGUUCAACUUAUAGUUUCUUUCGGCCAGAGGAGUGAUGGUGUCUCAACUCUUACUCCGCCCUUUACAGGAAGGCAGAUGUUCCUUCUAUUUGGGAAAAGAAGAGCAGGAAUUUGGGAGAUUUUAGCAUCAGAUCCCUCAGAAAGCCAGAUGUUCUUGUAACCUGAGGAAAAAAAAAGCAGAUAUUUGGAAGGUUUCAGUGUGAAAAAUCCAAGGAAAAGUGUCCUAAUUGCAAUUUUUUCUUCCGAGAUAAGGCUUUUACUUCUUUUUACAGGUUUGCUUACGUUUGUUUCAGAGAAUAUACAAAGACAUCCUAAUGUAUAUGUACAUUAAUCACAUGUAGACUUUCUAUACUCGCAGCUGAUGUACACGAAGUUUCAGAA